UACUCCCCAGGCGGAGGACUUAGCGCGUUAGCUACGACACUGAAAGGCUUACCCCUCCAACGUCUAGUCCUCAUCGUUUAUGGCGUGGACUACCAGGGUAUCUAAUCCUGUUUGCUCCCCACGCUUUCGUGCCUGAACGUCGGUACUGGUCCAGGAAGUCGCUUUCGCCACUGAUGUUCCUUCCGAUAUCUACGCAUUUCACCGCUACACCGGAAAUUCCACUUCCCUCUACCGUACCCUAGCUAUUCAGUCUCGAAUGCAAUUCCCAGGUUGAGCCCGGGGCUUUCACACCCGACUUAAAUAACCGUCUACGCACGCUUUACGCCCAGUAAUUCCGAUUAACGCUCGCACCCUCUGUAUUACCGCGGCUGCUGGCACAGAGUUAGCCGGUGCUUUUUCUUUGGGUUAGGUCAAGACACACUGGUAUUAGCAAUGUGCUUUUCAUCCCCACUAAAAGUGCUUUACAACCCGCAGGCCUUCUUCACACACGCGGCGUCGCUGGAUCAGGGUUGCCCCCAU
rnacentral:rRNA from 1 species